CACCAAGUCGCUGGAAUCCUCUGGAGUCGUCGUCGGUGGAAAUUUAAAGAUGUAUGGCCCAGUUUGUUGCGGCCGCAGGGUGCGCGCCACUUGCAAAUUUGAAUCGGGCCGGCUUGCAGGUAAGUAAGUUCAUGGUGGAUUGCGUAGGAUGGUAACAUUAUCAUCUGUUUGCUUUGUUUACAUUUUCAAAUUGCCAAAUGUUUACAAAGUCUUUAAAUUUAAAUUUAAUAUUGCUUUUUAUUUCUCUUUACAGGUACCCCCGCCAGAAGGACGGAAGCACCAAGUCACUGGAGACCUCAGGAGUCAUUGCCGGUGGAGAAUUGGGGAUGUUUGGCCCAAUUUGUUGCAGUCGCAGGGUGCGCGCAACUUGCAACAUUUGAGUUGGACCAGCGUUGCAGACACUCCGCCAGUUGUCAACAUUGAGGUUCCGAUGUGGAUCCCGCGCAGCCGUUAUUGCGGUCAUUUUAGAGUUGCUGGCAACAUUUGGCGGUGGAGUCUGCCUGAAUUUGGGCAGGAAACUCAUCGCUUUAAGUGGAUUCGUUACGCUCUACGUCUGCCAAUAAGCUGCCAAACUGUUCUCUGGUUUUUUCUCCAGUUGUCAGGGGGUCCAGAACGCUGUCAGUUCCCGCGCCGCCGUCUCGUUGCAAGGUCCGAAAAGUUGCUGCAUCUCAGCUAGUGUCCUUCAGAAAUCGGCAGGGAGGUCAUCAUUGAUUUGAAGUCGUCAGAAUUGCCGCUUUCUUAGGUCAUCUCGCCAGGAAUAGAGGAGCAUCUUAUAAUCGCUUAUAGAAAAUUGCAUUAGAUAAGUGUGCCUAUGUGUUUAAUUUUUUGUUUUUGUCUGAUUGGCAUUUGUCUUUUCUUUAACAGGUCCAGUUGUCCGGGAUUUUUCAAUUUGGGAAUCAAGGGAUGAGAGGCUAAUAAAAAUGUGCAAAUUCGUGUAGUUAGACAACAGGCAUUUUGACGAGCCUCGGACCCUAGUUAUUUGUUUGUAUUGGCAGAGAGGGGCGUUGUCGAGAGCUGCCGAGUUGGAUUUGGAAAUAGCAUGGGCUGGAUAUGCAGUGCUGUGGAUUGGACGCAAUAGUUGUCACUGGAGGUCAUUGAGGGGAAAAAGACGAAUUUGGAGUGCGCGAAUUUUUUCACUUCCGACAGCAGCAGCGCCACGCAAAUGGUCCACUGUGACGAGGGUAGACUGUGGCAUGGAGACGCCAUUAAUUCUCGUCAGUUUGCUGCGACAGUUGCGUUGCCGUUGCUGAUUUUGGGAAUCGCUAGGGUUACGCAUGUAAAAUGAAUUCGUCUAUUUAAAGGGGUUUCGUCAGUGUAACCUUGCUGCGGGAAAAAGUCAAAUUCGAGGGUCACGAUUUCGACCUUUUGCCGGGUCAGCAGCGCCGCGCCUAAGGUCAAGAAAGUCGAGGGGGCAUCCCCACAUGGAAAUGGCAUCAAAACAUGAUACGAUUUAUAUGUUUUAAGUGCCAAAAUCUCUAUUUUCGGUUACGUCGAGUCGGGAAGUAGUCAGUUGCGUAGUUUUAUGCCUUUAUUAAUUUGUUAUAUUCUUUUUCAGGGAUGUUGUCAGUAUACCGUUGCUACCAGGAAAAAAUCGAAUUCAAGAGUCACGAUUUUGACCUUUUGCCGGGUCAGCAGCGCCGCGCCAAGGGUCAAUAAAAUCGAGGGGCUUCUUAACAUAGAGACGGCAUCAAAACAUUGUUAAUGUUUUAUAUAUAUUAUUAUAUAGCUCUCUGUUUUAUGUUUUGAUUAAAUUAUUUCAAUCUUUAACAAAGAUUUCGUCGAUAUUACAUUUCUGAGGAAAAAAGUCAAUUUCAAGGGUCACGAUUUCGACCUUUUUCCGGGUCGGCAGCACCACGCCUAGGGUCUAUAAAAUCGUGGGGGAAUCUCAGUAUGGAGACGGCAUCCUAACAUUGUAUGUUU